CCUGGCGGCUUUAGCGCGGUGGUCCCACCUGACCCCAUGCCGAACUCAGAAGUGAAACGCCGUAGCGCCGAUGGUAGUGUGGGGUCUCCCCAUGUGAGAGUAGGACACUGCCAGGC
rnacentral:rRNA from 1 species